rnacentral:misc_RNA from 1 species
UCCGGUUUAUCACCGGCAGUCUCCUUAGAGUUCCCACCUUUACGUGUUGGCAACUAAGGACAAGGGUUGCGCUCGUUACGGGACUUAACCCAACAUCUCACGACACGAGCUGACGACAGCCAUGCAGCACCUGUGUUAUAGCUCCCUUGCGGGCACGUCCGAAUCUCUUCAGACUUCUAUACAUGUCAAGGGUAGGUAAGGUUCUUCGCGUUGCAUCGAAUUAAACCACAUGCUCCACCGCUUGUGCGGGUCCCCGUCAAUUUCUUUGAGUUUUAAUCUUGCGACCGUACUCCCCAGGCGGAGAACUUAACGCGUUAGCUUCGAUACGAAAUAGGUUUAACCUAUCCCUCAUCUAGUUCUCAUCGUUUACAGCGUGGACUAC